rnacentral:rRNA from 1 species
AUUGAACGCUGGCGGCAUGCCUUACACAUGCAAGUCGAACGGUAACAGGUCUUCGGAUGCUGACGAGUGGCGAACGGGUGAGUAAUACAUCGGAACGUGCCCGAUCGUGGGGGAUAACGAGGCGAAAGCUUUGCUAAUACCGCAUACGAUCUACGGAUGAAAGCGGGGGAUCUUCGGACCUCGCGCGGACGGAGCGGCCGAUGGCAGAUUAGGUAGUUGGUGGGAUAAAAGCUUACCAAGCCGACGAUCUGUAGCUGGUCUGAGAGGAUGAUCAGCCACACUGGGACUGAGACACGGCCCAGACUCCUACGGGAGGCAGCAGUGGGGAAUUUUGGACAAUGGGCGAAAGCCUGAUCCAGCCAUGCCGCGUGCAGGAUGAAGGCCUUCGGGUUGUAAACUGCUUUUGUACGGAACGAAAAGCCUCUUUCUAAUAAAGAGGGGUCAUGACGGUACCGUAAGAAUAAGCACCGGCCAACUACGUG